AGGUGGAGGGUGUUGGAGGGCGCCAGCCUGGGGCGCUGCUCCUUGGGAGACCCGGGUCUCCGGAAGACGGAUAAGUGCCGGCUGAGGCAGGGCUGGUUAAACUCGGGGUCCACUGCAUCACGGGCCAGAAGGUCGCCAUUAAGAUCGUGAACCGGGAGAAGCUGUCCGAGUCGGUGCUGAUGAAGGUGGAGCGGGAGAUCGCCAUCCUGAAGCUCAUCGAACACCCCCACGUCCUCAAGCUGCACGACGUCUACGAGAA